GGGUUGUGAGGUUAAGCGACUAAGCGUACACGGUGGAUGCCCUGGCAGUCAGAGGCGAUGAAGGACGUGCUAAUCUGCGAUAAGCGUCGGUAAGGUGAUAUGAACCGUUAUAACCGGCGAUUUCCGAAUGGGGAAACCCAGUGUGAUUCGUCACACUAUCAUUAACUGAAUCCAUAGGUUAAUGAGGCGAACCGGGGGAACUGAAACAUCUAAGUACCCCGAGGAAAAGAAAUCAACCGAGAUUCCCCCAGUAGCGGCGAGCGAACGGGGAGCAGCCCAGAGCCUGAAUCAGUGUGUGUGUUAGUGGAAGCGUCUGGAAAGGCGCGCGAUACAGGGUGACAGCCCCGUACACAAAAAUGCACAUACUGUGAGCUCGAUGAGUAGGGCGGGACACGUGGUAUCCUGUCUGAAUAUGGGGGGACCAUCCUCCAAGGCUAAAUACUCCUGACUGACCGAUAGUGAACCAGUACCGUGAGGGAAAGGCGAAAAGAACCCCGGCGAGGGGAGUGAAAAAGAACCUGAAACCGUGUACGUACAAGCAGUGGGAGCACGCUUAGGCGUGUGACUGCGUACCUUUUGUAUAAUGGGUCAGCGACUUAUAUUCUGUAGCAAGGUUAACCGAAUAGGGGAGCCGAAGGGAAACCGAGUCUUAACUGGGCGUUAAGUUGCAGGGUAUAGACCCGAAACCCGGUGAUCUAGCCAUGGGCAGGUUGAAGGUUGGGUAACACUAACUGGAGGACCGAACCGACUAAUGUUGAAAAAUUAGCGGAUGACUUGUGGCUGGGGGUGAAAGGCCAAUCAAACCGGGAGAUAGCUGGUUCUCCCCGAAAGCUAUUUAGGUAGCGCCUCGUGAAUUCAUCUCCGGGGGUAGAGCACUGUUUCGGCAAGGGGGUCAUCCCGACUUACCAACCCGAUGCAAACUGCGAAUACCGGAGAAUGUUAUCACGGGAGACACACGGCGGGUGCUAACGUCCGUCGUGAAGAGGGAAACAACCCAGACCGCCAGCUAAGGUCCCAAAGUCAUGGUUAAGUGGGAAACGAUGUGGGAAGGCCCAGACAGCCAGGAUGUUGGCUUAGAAGCAGCCAUCAUUUAAAGAAAGCGUAAUAGCUCACUGGUCGAGUCGGCCUGCGCGGAAGAUGUAACGGGGCUAAACCAUGCACCGAAGCUGCGGCAGCGACGCUUAUGCGUUGUUGGGUAGGGGAGCGUUCUGUAAGCCUGUGAAGGUGUGCUGUGAGGCAUGCUGGAGGUAUCAGAAGUGCGAAUGCUGACAUAAGUAACGAUAAAGCGGGUGAAAAGCCCGCUCGCCGGAAGACCAAGGGUUCCUGUCCAACGUUAAUCGGGGCAGGGUGAGUCGACCCCUAAGGCGAGGCCGAAAGGCGUAGUCGAUGGGAAACAGGUUAAUAUUCCUGUACUUGGUGUUACUGCGAAGGGGGGACGGAGAAGGCUAUGUUGGCCGGGCGACGGUUGUCCCGGUUUAAGCGUGUAGGCUGGUUUUCCAGGCAAAUCCGGAAAAUCAAGGCUGAGGCGUGAUGACGAGGCACUACGGUGCUGAAGCAACAAAUGCCCUGCUUCCAGGAAAAGCCUCUAAGCAUCAGGUAACAUCAAAUCGUACCCCAAACCGACACAGGUGGUCAGGUAGAGAAUACCAAGGCGCUUGAGAGAACUCGGGUGAAGGAACUAGGCAAAAUGGUGCCGUAACUUCGGGAGAAGGCACGCUGAUAUGUAGGUGAAGUCCCUCGCGGAUGGAGCUGAAAUCAGUCGAAGAUACCAGCUGGCUGCAACUGUUUAUUAAAAACACAGCACUGUGCAAACACGAAAGUGGACGUAUACGGUGUGACGCCUGCCCGGUGCCGGAAGGUUAAUUGAUGGGGUCAGCGCAAGCGAAGCUCUUGAUCGAAGCCCCGGUAAACGGCGGCCGUAACUAUAACGGUCCUAAGGUAGCGAAAUUCCUUGUCGGGUAAGUUCCGACCUGCACGAAUGGCGUAAUGAUGGCCAGGCUGUCUCCACCCGAGACUCAGUGAAAUUGAACUCGCUGUGAAGAUGCAGUGUACCCGCGGCAAGACGGAAAGACCCCGUGAACCUUUACUAUAGCUUGACACUGAACAUUGAGCCUUGAUGUGUAGGAUAGGUGGGAGGCUUAGAAGUGUGGACGCCAGUCUGCAUGGAGCCGACCUUGAAAUACCACCCUUUAAUGUUUGAUGUUCUAACGUUGACCCGUAAUCCGGGUUGCGGACAGUGUCUGGUGGGUAGUUUGACUGGGGCGGUCUCCUCCUAAAGAGUAACGGAGGAGCACGAAGGUUGGCUAAUCCUGGUCGGACAUCAGGAGGUUAGUGCAAUGGCAUAAGCCAGCUUGACUGCGAGCGUGACGGCGCGAGCAGGUGCGAAAGCAGGUCAUAGUGAUCCGGUGGUUCUGAAUGGAAGGGCCAUCGCUCAACGGAUAAAAGGUACUCCGGGGAUAACAGGCUGAUACCGCCCAAGAGUUCAUAUCGACGGCGGUGUUUGGCACCUCGAUGUCGGCUCAUCACAUCCUGGGGCUGAAGUAGGUCCCAAGGGUAUGGCUGUUCGCCAUUUAAAGUGGUACGCGAGCUGGGUUUAGAACGUCGUGAGACAGUUCGGUCCCUAUCUGCCGUGGGCGCUGGAGAACUGAGGGGGGCUGCUCCUAGUACGAGAGGACCGGAGUGGACGCAUCACUGGUGUUCGGGUUGUCAUGCCAAUGGCACUGCCCGGUAGCUAAAUGCGGAAGAGAUAAGUGCUGAAAGCAUCUAAGCACGAAACUUGCCCCGAGAUGAGUUCUCCCUGAC
rnacentral:rRNA from 1 species